AGAGUUUGAUCCUGGCUCAGAACGAACGCUGGCGGCAGGCUUAACACAUGCAAGUCGAGCGCCCCGCAAGGGGAGCGGCAGACGGGUGAGUAACGCGUGGGAACGUACCCUUUACUACGGAAUAACGCAGGGAAACUUGUGCUAAUACCGUAUGUGCCCUUCGGGGGAAAGAUUUAUCGGUAAGGGAUCGGCCCGCGUUGGAUUAGCUAGUUGGUGGGGUAAAGGCCUACCAAGGCGACGAUCCAUAGCUGGUCUGAGAGGAUGAUCAGCCACAUUGGGACUGAGACACGGCCCAAACUCCUACGGGAGGCAGCAGUGGGGAAUAUUGGACAAUGGGCGCAAGCCUGAUCCAGCCAUGCCGCGUGAGUGAUGAAGGCCCUAGGGUUGUAAAGCUCUUUCACCGGUGAAGAUAAUGACGGUAACCGGAGAAGAAGCCCCGGCUAACUUCGUGCCAGCAGCCGCGGUA
rnacentral:rRNA from 1 species